rnacentral:rRNA from 1 species
CACGUAGGGCGCAAGCGUUGUCCGGAAUUAUUGGGCGUAAAGCGCACGUAGGCGGCUUAGCAAGUCGGAUGUGAAAUCCCUCGGCUCAACCAAGGAAGUGCAUCCGAAACUGCUGAGCUUGAGUACUUAAGAAGGAUCGCGGAAUUCCCGGUGUGAGAGGUGAAAUUCGUAGAUAUCGGGAGGAACACCAGUGGCGAAGGCGGCGAUCUGGGAAGAUACUGACGCUGAGGUGCGAAAGCGUGGGGAGCGAACAGG